rnacentral:rRNA from 1 species
UAGGGAAUAUUGCAAAAUGGGCGAAAGCCCGAUGCAGCAACGCCGCGUGGGCGAUGAGGGCCUUCGGGUCGUAAAGCCCUUUUUGAGGGGAUGAGGAAGGACAGUACCCUCAGAAUAAGCCUCGGCUAACUACGUGCCAGCAGCCGCGGUAAAACGUAGGAGGCGAGCGUUAUCCGGAUUUACUGGGCGUAAAGCGCGUGCAGGCGGAUUGGAGAGUUGGAUGUGAAAGCUCCCGGCUUAACUGGGAGAGGUCGUUCAAUACUUCCAGUCUUGAGUGCAGUAGAGGGAAGUGGAAUUCCGGGUGUAGUGGUGAAAUGCGUAGCUAUCCGGAGGAACACCAGUGGCGAAAGCGGCUUCCUGGACUGUAACUGACGCUCAGACGCGAAAGCUAGGGUAGCAAAC